rnacentral:lncRNA from 1 species
CAUGAUUUAUCGUGAAUGGUGCUUCCGCAGUCUGAGCUUACUUGUAGAUAGGUGGAGGUGGGGAAGCAUAGACGUAAGCUGGAGGCGGAGGUGAUUUGUAAAUGUACUUUGGAGCGGGAGCUGGGGAGGGAGGAGGUGGUGAUUUGUAAUGGUAUGGUGGAGGUGGAGAUGGAGAAGGUGGUGGAGGGCUCACGUAGUGGUAAGGAGGUGAAGGAUACGACGUUGGUGGUGGAGGGGAUUUGUAGUAGUAGGGAUGAUGAGGAGUGGGAGAUGGUGGAGGAGGACUUUUAUAGUAAUAAGGAGGUGGUGGAGAUGGGGACGGGGGUGGAGGGGAUUUGUAGUAAUAUGGAGGUGGUGGUGAUGGGGAUGGUGGUGGUGGUGAGUGGUAGUAGUAGGGAGGGUGUGUGCUCUCUUUAGGUGGAGGUGGGGAGUGAUAGUAGUAAGGUGGUGGAGGGGAUGGUGAAGGUGGUGGGGGAGAUUUAUAGUAGUAUGGAGGAGGAGGGGAUGGUGAAGGUGGGGGUGGAGAUUUAUAGUAGUACGGAGGGGGAGGAGAGGGUGAUGGUGGAGGUGGAGAUUUAUAGUAGUACGGAGGGGGAGGAGAGGGUGAUGGUGGAGGUGGAGAUUUAUAGUAGUAUGGAGGCUUAUAAACCGGUGAGGGUGGAGGUGGGGAGUGGUAGUAGUAUGGAGGGGGAGGUGAGGGGGAUGGUGGAGGGGGAGAGUGGUAGUAGUAUGGAGGGGGAGGUGAAGGGGAUGGUGGAGGUGGAGAGUGGUAGUAGUAUGGAGGUUUAGGCUUUGGUGAUGGUGGGGGUGGAGAUUGGUAGUAGUAUGGAGGCUUUGGCACCGGUGAUGGUGGAGGUGGAGAGUGGUAGUAGUAUGGAGGUGGAGGAGAGGGAGAUGGAGGAGGUGGAGAGUGGUAGUAGUAUGGAGGCUUAGGUUUUGGUGAUGGAGGGGGUGGUGAUUGGUAGUAGUAAGGAGGCUUUGGCACCGGUGAUGGUGGAGGUGGAGAGUGGUAGUAGUACGGAGGCUUAGGUUUUGGUGAUGGGGGAGGUGGAGAUUGGUAGUAGUAUGGAGGCUUUGGUACUGGUGAUGGAGGAGGUGGAGAGUGGUAGUAGUAUGGAGGUUGAGGUUUUGGUGAUGGUGGAGGUGGAGACUUAUAAUAAUAGGGAGGUGACUUGACGGGUGGUGGUGGUGACUUGUAAACAUAAGUUGGUGAUGGUGGUGGUGGUGAUUUGUAUACGUAAACUGGAGAGGGAGGAGGAGGUGAGUUGUAAUAGUAUGGUGUUGGUGAAGGCUUAUAAGGCUUCUUGUCACAGUCCUUGAAGUGCUUCUUUGAAGCAUAAGCAAAUGGCUUAGCCUUGAGCACAACUUCAUAUUUAUCUUUUGAUUUCACCUUCAAUGGAGUUCCCUCGUUCAGCUUGGUAGGUAUGUUGAAGGGAGAGUCCUUAGGUGGAGCAUGAAGGUGGGCCUUGCAGACUACUGAUCCAUAUUUCACAUAGUCAAAGUCCUUAACUGUGAUACUGUAUUUUCCAUUGCUCUUAGUUUCACCAUAAGCCUUUAUGAUGUUUCUUCCUGCUUUGCAUUUAACCUCCACAAUAGCACCUACAUUUACCCAAAAUGCUUCAUUA